CCACGCUGUAAACGAUGUCGAUUUAGAGGUUGUGGUCUUGAACCGUGGCUUCUGGAGCUAACGCGUUAAAUCGACCGCCUGGGGAGUACGGCCGCAAGGUUAAAACUCAAAUGAAUUGACGGGGGCCCGCACAAGCGGUGGAGCAUGUGGUUUAAUUCGAUGCAACGCGAAGAACCUUACCUGGUCUUGACAUCCACAGAACUUUCCAGAGAUGGAUUGGUGCCUUCGGGAACUGUGAGACAGGUGCUGCAUGGCUGU
rnacentral:rRNA from 1 species